GAUGAACGCUGGCGGCGUGCUUAACACAUGCAAGUCGAACGGAGUUUAAGAAGGAAGCUUGCUUUCAUUUUAAACUUAGUGGCGGACGGGUGAGUAACGCGUGAGGAACCUGCCCUUCAGUGGGGAACAACAACUAGAAAUGGUUGCUAAUACCGCAUAAUGUCGGAGAGCCGCAUGACUUUCCGACCAAAGGAUUUAUUCGCUGAAGGAUGGCCUCGCGUCCGAUUAGAUAGUUGGUGAGGUAACGGCCCACCAAGUCUACGAUCGGUAGCCGAACUGAGAGGUUGAUCGGCCACAUUGGGACUGAGACACGGCCCAGACUCCUACGGGAGGCAGCAGUGGGGAAUAUUGGGCAAUGGGCGAAAGCCUGACCCAGCAACGCCGCGUGAAGGAUGACGGUCUUCGGAUUGUAAACUUCUUUAAUUGGGGAAGAACAAAAUGACCUACCCAAAGAAUAAGUCACGGCUAACUACGUGCCAGCAGCCGCGGUAAUACGUAGGUGACAAGCGUUAUCCGGAUUUACUGGGCGUAAAGGGCGUGUAGGCGGUCUUGCAAGUCAGAAGUGAAAUUCCUGAGCUCAACUCGGGCGCUGCUUCUGAAACUGCAGGACUUGAGUGCUGGAGGGGAUAGCGGAAUUCCUAGUGGAGCGGUAAAAUGCGCAGAUAUUAGGAGGAACACCGGUGGCGAAGGCGGCUUACUGGACUGUAACUGACGUUGAGGCUCGAAAGCGUGGGGAGCAAACA
rnacentral:rRNA from 1 species